rnacentral:tRNA from 1 species
AGAGUAUAGCUCAAUGGUAGAGUGUGUGCUUAGUAUGCACAAGGUCCUAGGUUCAAUCCCCAGUAACUCCA